AUUGAACGCUGGCGGCAGGCCUAACACAUGCAAGUCGAACGAGUGGCGGACGGGUGAGUAAUGUCUGGGAAACUGCCCGAUGGAGGGGGAUAACUACUGGAAACGGUAGCUAAAACCGCAUACCAUCGGAGGUGCCCCGAUGGGAAUAGCUAGUAGGUGGGGUAACGGCUCACCUAGGCGACGAUCCCUAGCUGGUCUGCAAGGAUGACCAGCCGCACUGGAACAGAGGCACGGUCCAGACUCCUACGGGUGGCAGCAGUGGGGAAUAUUGCACAAUGGGCGCAAGCCUGAUGCAGCCAUGCCGCGUGUAUGAAGAGGGCCUUCGGGUUGUAAAGUACUUUCAGCUAGGAGGCGUUACUCGCAGAAGAAGCGCCGGCUAACUCCGUGCCAGCAGCCGCGGUAAUUC
rnacentral:rRNA from 1 species